AGCAGCAGCCGCGGGAAUACCGAGGGUGCGAGCGUUAAUCGGAUUUACUGGGCGUAAAGCGUGCGUAGGCGGCUUUUUAAGUCGGAUGUGAAAUCCCUGAGCUUAACUUAGGAAUUGCAUUCGAUACUGGGAAGCUAGAGUAUGGGAGAGGAUGGUAGAAUUCCAGGUGUAGCGGUGAAAUGCGUAGAGAUCUGGAGGAAUACCGAUGGCGAAGGCAGCCAUCUGGCCUAAUACUGACGCUGAGGUACGAAAGCAUGGGGAGCAAACAGGAUUAGAUACCCGUGUAGUCCCUGUCUCUUAUAC
rnacentral:rRNA from 1 species